rnacentral:rRNA from 1 species
GAUGAAUGCUAGCGGCAGGCCUAACACAUGCAAGUCGAGGGGCAGCACAGAAACAGCAAUGUUUUGGUGGCGACCGGCGGACGGGUGCGUAACGCGUAUGCAACCUACCUUUAACAGGGGGAUAACGGAGAGAAAUUUCCACUAAUACCCCAUAACAUCGAUCAAGGCAUCUUGAUUGGUUGAAAACUCCGGUGGUUAAAGAUGGGCAUGCGUUGUAUUAGGUAGUUGGUGUGGUAAUGGCUCACCAAGCCUACGAUACAUAGGGGGACUGAGAGGUUAGCCCCCCCCACUGGUACUGAGACACGGACCAGAAUCCUACGGGGGGCAGCAGUGAGGAAUAUUGGUCAAUGGGGGCAACCCUGAACCAGCCAUGCCGCGUGCAGGAAGACGGCUCUAUGAGUUGUAAACUGCUUUUAAACAGGGAUAAAGCACAGUAUGUAUACUGUGUUGAAGGUACUGUAAGAAUAAGGAUCGGCUAACUCCGUGCCAGCCGCCGCGGUAA